rnacentral:rRNA from 1 species
ACGCACGCUGGCGGCGUGCUUCACCCCUGCAAGUCGCACGGAAAGGCCCUGCUUUUGUGGGGUGCUCGAGUGGCGAACGGGUGAGUAACACGUGAGUAACCUGCCCUUGACUUUGGGAUAACUUCAGGAAACUGGGGCUAAUACCGGAUAGGAGCUCCUGCUGCAUGGUGGGGGUUGGAAAGUUUCGGCGGUUGGGGAUGGACUCGCGGCUUAUCAGCUUGUUGGUGGGGUAGUGGCUUACCAAGGCUUUGACGGGUAGCCGGCCUGAGAGGGUGACCGGCCACAGUGGGACUGAGAUACGGCCCAGACUCCUACGGGAGGCAGCAGUGGGGAAUAUUGCACAAUGGGCGGAAGCCUGAUGCAGCAACGCCGCGUGCGGGAUGACGGCCUUCGGGUUGUAAACCGCUUUCGCCUGUGACGAAGCGUGAGUGACGGUAAUGGGUAAAGAAGCACCGGCUAACUACGUG